UCAAGUUAUUAAGGGUGCAGGGCGGAUGCCUUGGCACUAGGAGCCGAUGAAGGACGUGAUAAGCUGCGAUAAGCUUCGGGGAGUUGCACGUAAACUUUGAUCCGAAGAUUUCCGAAUGAGGAAACUCACUUAGAGUAAUGUCUAAGUAUCAUUAAGUGAAUACAUAGCUUAAUGAGGGGAACUCAGGGAACUGAAACAUCUAAGUACCUGAAGGAAGAGAAAGAAAUUCGAUUCCGUAAGUAGCGGCGAGCGAACGCGGAUUAGCCCAAACCAAUAAAGUUUUCUUUAUUGGGGUUGCGGACAUAUCAUAACGGAGAGGUAUCGUAAUUGAAGAGGUUUGGAAAGACCCACCACAGAAGGUAAUAGUCCUGUAUGUUAAACGAGAAGACUUUAGAUAUGAUCCAGAGUACCACGGGACACGUGAAACCCUGUGGGAAGCAGGAGGGACCACCCUCCAAGGCUAAAUACUACCUAGUGACCGAUAGCGUAUAGUACCGUGAGGGAAAGGUGAAAAGAACCCCGGGAGGGGAGUGAAAUAGAACCUGAAACCCUGCACUUACAAGCUGUGGAAGCACAUUUCUUGUGUGACCGCGUACUUUUUGUAGAACGGGCCAACGAGUUACGUUAAGUAGCAAGGUUAAGCACUUAAGGUGCGGAGCCGUAGCGAAAGCGAGUUUUAACUGAGCGUUCAGUUACUUGACGUAGACCCGAAACCGGGCGACCUACCCAUGAGCAGGAUGAAGCGAAAGUAAAAUUUCGUGGAGGUCCGAACCCACGAGCGUUGAAAAGCUCGGGGAUGACUUGUGGGUAGCGGUGAAAUUCCAAUCGAGCCCGGAGAUAGCUGGUUCUCCCCGAAAUAGCUUUAGGGCUAGCCUCAAGGUGAGAGAUACGGAGGUAGAGCACUGAAUGUCCUAGGGGGUAUUGCACCUACCGAAGACUAUCAAACUCCGAAUGCCGUCAUCUUAUACUUGGGAGUCAGACUGUGGGUGAUAAGAUUCAUAGUCGAAAGGGCAACAGCCCAGAUCGUCAGCUAAGGUCCCUAAAUGUAAGUUAAGUGGUAAAGGAUGUGGGAUUGCACAGACAACCAGGAUGUUGGCUUAGAAGCAGCCACUCAUUCAAAGAGUGCGUAAUAGCUCACUGGUCGAGUGAUCCUGCGCCGAAGAUUUCCGGGGCUAAAACUUACUACCGAAGCUACGGCAUCAUUAUGAUGGGUAGGGGAGCUUCCCAUACGGGUUGAAGCAUGACCGUAAGGACAUGUGGACAGUAUGGGAGUGAGAAUGUUGGCAUGAGUAGCGAGAUGUGGGUGAGAAUCCCACAGGCCGUAAACCCAAGGUUUCCAGGGGAAGGUUCGUCCGCCCUGGGUUAGUCGGGACCUAAGCUGAGGCCGAAAGGCGUAGGUGAUGGACAACAGGUUGAUAUUCCUGUACUACCGAUAACCGUUUGAGAGAAGGGAUGACACAGUAGGAUAAGCUAAGCACACUGUUGGUUAUGUGUGCCCAAGCAUUGAGGCAGUCAAAGUAGGCAAAUCCGCUUUGAUAAUGCUGGGAUGUGAUGGGGAGCGAAAUUUAGUAGCGAAGUAGCUGAUUUCACACUGUCAAGAAAAGUCUCUAUCGAGGUUAAAGGUACCCGUACCGCAAACCGACACAGGUGGGUGAGGAGAGUAUCCUAAGGCCAGCGAGAGAACUGUUGUUAAGGAACUCGGCAAAAUGACCCCGUAACUUAGGGAUAAGGGGUGCCACCAUCAGGUGGCCGCAGAGAAUAGGCCCAAGCGACUGUUUACCAAAAACAUAGGUUUCUGCUAAGUCGCAAGACGAUGUAUAGGAGCUGACGCCUGCCCGGUGCUGGAAGGUUAAGGGAAUCUGUUAGAGCAAUCGAAGCAGUGAACUUAAGCCCCAGUAAACGGCGGCCGUAACUAUAACGGUCCUAAGGUAGCGAAAUUCCUUGUCGGGUAAGUUCCGACCCGCACGAAAGGCGUAACGAUUUGGGCACUGUCUCAACAACAGACUCGGUGAAAUUGUAAUUCCGGUGAAGAUGCCGGAUACCUGCGACAGGACGGAAAGACCCCAUGGAGCUUUACUGUAGCUUGACAUUGGGUCUUGGUACUACAUGUACAGGAUAGGUGGGAGGCUUUGAAACCAGGACGCCAGUUUUGGCGGAGCCAUCCUUGGGAUACCACCCUUGUAGUACUGGGACUCUAACCAUAGGCCAUGAAUCUGGUCUUGGGACACUGUCAGGUGGGCAGUUUGACUGGGGCGGUCGCCUCCCAAAAGGUAACGGAGGCGCUCAAAGGUUCUCUCAGUACGGUCGGAAAUCGUACGUAGAGUGUAAAGGCAAAAGAGAGCUUGAUUGCAAGACAUACAGGUCGAGCAAGGAUGAAAAUCGGACUUAGUGAUCCGGUGGUUCUGCGUGGAAGGGCCAUCGCUCAACGGAUAAAAGCUACCCUGGGGAUAACAGGCUUAUCUCCCCCAAGAGUCCACAUCGACGGGGAGGUUUGGCACCUCGAUGUCGGCUCAUCACAUCCUGGGGCUGUAGUAGGUCCCAAGGGUUGGGCUGUUCGCCCAUUAAAGUGGUACGCGAGCUGGGUUCAGAACGUCGUGAGACAGUUCGGUCCCUAUCCGUCGCAGGCGUAGGAAAUUUGAGAAGACCUGUCCUUAGUACGAGAGGACCGGGAUGGACGUACCUCUGGUGUACCAGUUGUCCUGCCAAGGGCAUGGCUGGGUAGCUAUGUACGGAAUGGAUAAGCGCUGAAAGCAUCUAAGCGCGAAGCCAACUUCAAGAUAAGAUUUCCCACCGCAAGGGUAAGACCCCAGAAAGACUAUCUGGUUGAUAGGUCGAAGGUGUAAGUGCAGCAAUGUAUUUAGCUUAUCGAUACUAAUAGGUCGAGGACUUGACCAA
rnacentral:rRNA from 1 species